rnacentral:rRNA from 1 species
GGCGCACGGGUGAGUAACGCGUGGGAAUUUACCUAGCAGUGGGGAAUAACAGUUGGAAACGACUGCUAAUACCGCAUACGCCCUUAGGGGGAAAGAUUUAUCGCUGUUAGAUAGGCCCGCGUUGGAUUAGUUAGUUGGUGAGGUCAAGGCUCACCAAGACGAUGAUCCAUAGCUGGUUCGAGAGGAUGAUCAGCCACACUGGAACUGAGACACGGUCCAGACUCC